CACAAUCAUAUUUCUGCACGCUGUGCCUGUAACUUUUACAAACAGCAGGGUCAGUGAGUGACCAAAGAUGCAGAAGCUUGGAAGCCAAUGGUCUGAAGUUGAGCUCCUGAUUGGUGAGAAAGACGCUGGCCACUUUGAAGCUACGCCAAGGUGCAGAUCAGAAGUCCUGGAGCCACCUAACAAGUACCUCUACUAUGUGUAGCAGAUCCCGAACCAACCACAGAAAUGUCCACAUCUGAAAAGAAGAAAGGCUAUCCUGAGCACGCCUCUGAUAUCUGUCACAGUAUAAUGCCUUCUCUCGACCUACUAUGUAAACAAGG
rnacentral:lncRNA from 1 species